rnacentral:rRNA from 1 species
UACAGAGGUCUCAAGCGUUGUUCGGAUUCAUUGGGCGUAAAGGGUGCGUAGGCGGCGCGGUAAGUCGGGUGUGAAAUCUCGGAGCUUAACUCCGAAACUGCAUUCGAUACUGCCGUGCUUGAGGACUGGAGAGGAGACUGGAAUUUACGGUGUAGCGGUGAAAUGCGUAGAUAUCAAGAGGAACACCUGAGGUGAAGACGGGUUGCUGGGCUGACACUGACGCUGAGGCGCGAAAGCCAGGGGAGCAAACGGG